rnacentral:misc_RNA from 1 species
AAGUCGUAACAAGGUUUCCGUAGGUGAACCUGCGGAAGGAUCAUUAACACGUAUCCAAACGUUAAAACCCCCCACCGUGAACCUUCAUCCUGCUCUUGUAACCCGCGUAGUUCGCAAUCUCUGAUAAAUCAUAGCCCGGAAUGUAAUACAUUGGGUAAAAAAACCGAACAACUGUUAACAAUGGAUAUCUUGGUUCUC